rnacentral:rRNA from 1 species
CCCGCUCAGAAACUCAAGGAAUUGACGGGGCCCGCACAAGCGGUGGAGCAUGUGGUUUAAUUCGAUGAUACGCGAGGAACCUUACCUGGGCUCAAAUGUAUGUUGACGUAUUCUGAAAGGGAUACUUCUUCGGACAAUAUACAAGGUGCUGCAUGGUUGUCGUCAGCUCGUGCCGUGAGGUGUCGGGUUAAGUCCCAUAACGAGCGCAACCCCUAUCAUUAGUUGCCAUCAGGUCAAGCUGGGGACUCUAAUGAAACUGCCUACGCAAGUAGUGAGGAAGGUGGGGAUGACGUCAAAUCAGCACGGCCCUUACGUCCAGGGCUACACACGUGCUACAAUGGCCGGUACAGAGGGCAGCUACCUGGUGACAGGAUGCAAAUCUCCAAAGUCGGUCUCAGUUCGGAUCGGAGUCUGCAACCCGACUCCGUGAAGUUGGAUUCGCUAGUAAUCGCGCAUCAGCCAUGGCGCGGUGAAUACGUUCCCGGGCCUU